UCUGGCUUCUCUGGUGCCUGCUGUGUGGCCAGGCCAGCUGACUUGGUGAGAUCCUGGUUCAGGGAGAGACCCUGUCUCAAAACAUAAGGUGGAGCGCGAUUGUGGGAAACACAAUGUAAACCUCUGUCCUCUACACAUAUGCGUUCACAUGUGCAUGGACACUUGGACAUGUGUGUGUGUGUGUGUGUGUGUGUGUGUGUGUGUAUGUGUGUGUGUGUGUUGAUGACACAUGGUGUCAGUGCCUUUAAGACACUGUAAAGAGACCCGUGGGACUGUCACAAACGUACCUGCUUUUCCCUCCUCCUUGCGGCUUCUAUUGACCUCCACAGAGCUUUGAUCUUUCUUCUUGCUUAUUUUCUUUUCCAUCAAAAUUGAUUGUGAUUAUUCUGCAAAGUGAAGGCUCCUUCUGAACUGGUUUCAUCGUCAAAUGCUACCUAUUCUGUUACUAUCAGGAUGCUUCAGGCUGCUCUGUGUUCAAAGGUAAGAUACCUGGGGGGGGGGGCUUGAACACUUCCCAACAAACCAUACUUCCUUGAGACCAGAUAAACAUCAAAGGUCACCACUAUGAAACACUGAUGUGACUACAGGAAGGGACCUGAGACAUGGGGGUAAAGCUCUCCCCGCCCCAAGGUCCCUAAGAACUGUUGCCUAGGCCCAAGGUUUCCCCUAGCCACAUCUACUUCUCUACCAGCUUAUAUUUUUUCUCUCUCCUUUUCACUGUCUGGGAAUCCUACACACGGCUCUCCCCUGCUCCAUGGGGGAAGUUCUUUCCCUCACAGCCCCACCUCCCAGCCCCCUAAGCUCGGUUCCCCUCAUCCAUAGAACUCUCGUGGGCCAGCAGACAGCUCUGGCCCCACCUGAUUCUCCCUUUAUAUCUGAACCCUAGAGUUCUUGAGGAAGAGCCCCCUGAAAAUGGCUUUCCCUGGACACACAGUUAUCCUGGACCCCACAACUAAUAUCCUGGGGCUCCUUUCAUAAUACCAUGUAGAAGUUGAGUGUCAAAAAACUCAAGGUUACCAGGCGAUGUUGGCACACACCUUUGAUCCCAGCACUCAGAAGGCAGAGGCAAGCAGAUCUCUGUGGAGUUUGAGGCUAGCCUGGAGCGAGUUCCAGGACAGCUAGAGCUGUUACACAGAGAGACUCUGUCUCAAAAGACUAAAAAUACAAAAACUCAAAAGUCUAAGACACUCUUCCUAAAAGAGGCUCUGCAAUGUGUUCCCUUGUUGCCUUGUAGGAUUUUUUAGGCUCAGAGCUACGAGUGACAGAAAAUCACAAUGUUGAUCCCCCUCCCCCAUAACGAUUAGGACGCCUCUGGUUACAGAACGCUUAAAUGGCCAUCGGAAGGAAGCACAGGGAGGUAGCUCACUCUUUCACCAAUAGGCAACUCAGAGCCUCAGUGACAUGGAGGAGACUGACGAUGGCUUUUCUAUACUUCACCUGGCUUUGUCCUUUGCCUCCUAAGUGACUGCCACAGACUAGAGCAUCCUUUCCUCUCACAGCCUCCAAGGGAAGAAGGCAGGUGUGAGCUCCUGCCCGCUGAAGGAGCAGAACCACCACCACCCCCCAGCCCAUUUCCCCUUGGGCACCACUGGGCAGGCCUAGGUCACAGGCUCUCCUCCUGCAGCCCAGUUUCGGGGUUGCUGUGACUGAUCAUCUUGGGCUUUCUCCUGGAGGGGCAUUCUCCACCCUGCAGCAUGUUGCUGCCCUAGAUUGAGCCAAAGAAAAAUGAAGUCAGCAAGAGCAGGCAGCAGCCUGAAGGUGGCUGGGGACCCAGCCUGUCUCCCCUCUCCCCUCUCUGUUUCCAUUGUGUUUCUUUCGUCUAGAUUCUGCUCAGCUCACAGCAAGCUCCGACAAAUGUUCCUCGAAAGGAAGGAAGGGAAAGAAGAAGGACUGGGCAGGACAAACGGAGCCACGCAGAAGAUUGAGUGGGAGCGAUAAGUCUGACAUCACGAGAAGAACCGGAAGCUUAGUUCUGUCUGCAAAGAGAAGCCCAGUGUGUCCGUAGCUGUCAGAGGUGCUUGGUGCGGGCCUAUGCGGUGGAUACAAUAGAACAGGAGAGCCCCCACCAUCGAAGGAUGCCCACAGUCCCUGCCCUACAGCCCCUUCAGCAUCCCCACUCUGUGUCUUCUGUUGGAGCUCCCAGGUGUCUGGACAAACAAGCACCAGUCUGUUCCCCUGUGUGAGCCUCACAUCCACCCAGGAGCUGUCCUUGUGCUGCUGAAGGCAGGCGGGGAAGAAGCAGAACCACCCUGACUGGUCAGCCUCACCCCAUGUUCUCUCCUUCUCACACACCUACAGAGUGGAACCGGAGUCUGGCUCUCCUGCUGAUUCAGCCCCUCCAGCGCCACACCCCCACCCCCACUCCGGGCUGAACACCUUGCUUCUGUCGUUCUCAGGAGAUUGUCCCUUGCCUCAGGCUCUGGCUUCCCAAACCUUGUUGUAGGGGUUCAUGGGUCCUCGCCUCCCUACUGUGCUGCUCUGGAUUCAAAUCCUACCCCUGUUGAGGACAUGCCUUGUUUUUGUCAAAACUUCUGCUAGAUUGCCCCAUGUGCUCAUAGACAUCUAUUGAAAACCUCUCUUCCACAUAUCUCCUGCUCUCUCCCUUCCCUUUCUGUAAACAGUCCUGGAGAAGAUGCCUUGCCC